AGCUCUACCUUAGUUUUUUGUUAAACUGAACAAGACCUCAGACUUAAGAGCUAUUCAAAUAAGGCACAGCUUAUUUGAAACAGGACACAACCUACAACAUAGGGUAACCAAGAGUGACUUAAAUAAAGUGGGCCUAAAAGCAGCCAUCUUUAAAAAAGCGUUAAAGCUUAACUACCCCUCACUCACAAUACCUAAAGCCCUCACUAACCCCUCAUCACUAUUGAACAGCUUUAUACUCAUAUAAAAGCUAUCAUGCUAGAACUAGUAACAAGAAACUGCCUUUCUCCUAAAUGUAAGUAUAUACCAAAAUAAACUCUGUUGGUUAUUAACGUAAAUGCUAAGCUAUAGUAACACCCACUAGAAAACCCUAUAACUCCUAACGUUAACCUUACACCAGAACAUUCCAGGAAAGAUUAAAAGAAAAAGAAGGAACUCGGCAAAUCAUAGCCUCGCCUGUUUACCAAAAACAUCGCCUCUUGCAAAACAUAAGAGGUCCAGCCUGCCCAGUGACAAAGUUCAACGGCCGCGGUACCCUAACCGUGCGAAGGUAGCAUAAUCACUUGUUCUUUAAAUGAGGACUCGUAUCAACGGCACUACGAGGGCUAUACUGUCUCCUUUUUCCAAUCAGUGAAACUGAUCUCCCCGUGAAGAAGCGGGGAUCAAAAUAUAAGACGAGAAGACCCCAUGGAGCUUUAAACUCUCUGUACACUUCUGUGUUCCUACAUCAUUAGACAUAAGAAAUCUGCACACUAGUUUUAGGUUGGGGGGACCACGGAGUACAAUUUAACCUCCAUAACAAAUGGGCUAAUUACCCUUAUCCACGAGACACACCUCUAAGAAUUAUCAAACUAAUGCUUAUGACCCGAUAUUCGAUCAAUGAACCAAGUUACCCUGGGGAUAACAGCGCAAUCUACUUCAAGAGCCCAUAUCGACAAGUAGGUUUACGACCUCGAUGUUGGAUCAGGGUAUCCCGGUGGUGCAGCCGCUACCAAUGGUUCGUUUGUUCAACGAUUAAAACCCUACGUGAUCUG
rnacentral:rRNA from 1 species